rnacentral:rRNA from 1 species
ACUCCUACGGGAGGCAGCAGUGGGGAAUUUUGGACAAUGGGCGCAAGCCUGAUCCAGCCAUGCCGCGUGCGGGAAGAAGGCCUUCGGGUUGUAAACCGCUUUUGUCAGGGAAGAAACGGUCUGCAUUAAUACUGCGGACUAAUGACGGUACCUGAAGAAUAAGCACCGGCUAACUACGUGCCAGCAGCCGCGGUAAUACA